rnacentral:rRNA from 1 species
UCGGGAAUUUUGGGCAAUGGGCGAAAGCCUGACCCAGCAACGCCGCGUGAAGGAUGAAGUAUUUCGGUAUGUAAACUUCGAAAGAAUAGGAAGAAUAAAUGACGGUACUAUUUAUAAGGUCCGGCUAACUACGUGCCAGCAGCCGCGGUAAUACGUAGGGACCAAGCGUUGUUCGGAUUUACUGGGCGUAAAGGGCGCGUAGGCGGCAAUUCAAGUCAUCUGUGAAAUCUCCGGGCUUAACUCGGAACGGUCAGAUGAUACUGCUGUGCUAGAGUACAGAAAGGGCAAUCGGAAUUCUUGGUGUAGCGGUGAAAUGCGUAGAUAUCAAGAGGAACACCAGUGGCGAAGGCGACUUGCUGGGCUUGUGGUGACGCUGAGACGCGAAAGCGUGGGGAGCAAACAGGAUUAGAUACCCCGGUAGUCCCUGAGCGGGCUGGCAAGGCGCAU